rnacentral:lncRNA from 1 species
AAUCCGAAGAAGAGGCCUCGGUGUACUUGAAUGCCAUCAGGAAGGAUUUCGGGCUCAACAAUCGAACGCAUCUCCACUUGGCGAAAUGACAGCUAUCCUUCUGUACUGGACGCAACGUGCUUGGAGGUGAACUAUCUGGAGUGGUUAUCGGUGAACCCAACAGUGUAGCUGGUAAAGAUUUACUUCCUUUAUUUAGAUUUAUUUCUUCUUCGACCAGUGUCACAGAAGAUUGUGGUUUGUUAAACUUAUUAGACAUCAUUUGGUUAGCUACAUGAACAA